rnacentral:ribozyme from 1 species
AAAAACAAAAAACAAAAAAAAAAAGAAUCAAACCAUGACCGCUUCCGCUUCCGCUUUGUUCUCUCUCUGGACUAGUUUUUAAUCACAUCAGCCUUACUCAUUUUUUUGUGUUUUUGUUCUCUAUAGUUCUGUUCCCUGGUAUUAUUUUG